CCUACGGGGGGCAGCAGUGGGGAAUAUUGGACAAUGGGGGCAACCCUGAUCCAGCCAUGCCGCGUGUGUGAAGAAGGCCCUCGGGUUGUAAAGCACUUUCAGUGAGGAAGAACGCCUGGUGGUUAAUACCCAUCAGGAAAGACAUCACUCACAGAAGAAGCACCGGCUAACUCCGUGCCAGCAGCCGCGGUAAUACGGAGGAUGCGAGCGUUAAUCGGAAUUACUGGGCGUAAAGCGCGCGUAGGUGGCUUGAUAAGCCGGUUGUGAAAGCCCCGGGCUCAACCUGGGAACGGCAUCCGGAACUGUCAAGCUAGAGUGCAGGAGAGGAAGGUAGAAUUCCCGGUGUAGCGGUGAAAUGCGUAGAGAUCGGGAGGAAUACCAGUGGCGAAGGCGGCCUUCUGGACUGACACUGACACUGAGGUGCGAAAGCGUGGGUAGCAAACAGGAUUAGAUACCCCAGUAGUC
rnacentral:rRNA from 1 species